UCAUCUAACCUGCUUGCCCACCGACUAACUGUACUGUGAUCAACAGCAGCACCUCCAUACACCUUUUUCAACCUCUUGUGGAUGUUUCCCACUGUCUCGUUUUCACAGCACAGGAAUUCUACGACAGCACAUUGCUUCUGACAAACGUCAAGUGUAGCAGCCACCUUGAAGAUAUGCCGUGACGGUGCCACUCACGGGAACAGGUUGAACUAAGUUUGAAAACAAGUGCGAAGGAUGUAGCUUCACACUGUAAAACUUUCACACAUGCAGAAUGAAAACUGUAUUUUUACAAAAAUAGUGUGCAUUUCUUUUGGAGUGACCCUCGUAUAUUCGGCUAAAGAUGAGAUGUGUGUGAUGUGUAAUAGUAAAUUCUUUGUAUUCCUCCAUACUUUUAAUUAUGAGUGUAAUAUGUAUAUUGUGUAACUUGGUUCUGUCUAAUAUUAGUGUGUGAUAACAUGUAUUAAUCUGUUCAUAGCGUCACACUGUGAAAUAUAAGUAGGUUGCAGAGUGAUUGACUGGGCUGAGUGUAGGAGCGAGAGGAGAAGAGGUUGCGGAUUGGUUAACAUGAUGUCUUUGUAGUGAUACAUAGAAUCCAAGUCUCAGAAUAGGGAGGUUGCCGUGUUAGCAGAAAUGUUAAUAAGCAUGUAGACAGAGUGUAAUUUUGUUUGCAAAGGAGACACUUAUUGCAUUUUGUUGUGUGCAAAUGCUUUGUACAAGUUAAUUGUGGCAGUACUUGUUUGAGUAGUGUUGAGGUAUGAAUUAGUGGUAACUUGAGCAUCUUGGUUCCAUUUUUUGUCUAUUAUAUGUUGUUCUUUGCUGCUAUGCUGUUUCAUACUGUGUCACUUUAUUAAUGUUGUCAAAUGGAUUAAAAAGUUAAGAUGUUUGUGCAUAUGAAAAUGUGUGUAACAUAAAAGCAGAUUGGCACAAAGUAUUAUUGGGAGCUUUGUAUGUAUUGUUUUGUUCGACGGAGGGGAAUAGCUGUUGAACCACAUGAAGGGCUCAAUGCUUAAAUAUUGUAUGGAUGAUAUGCUGAAUAAUUGGCUGAGAUGCAUGGUAAGAGACAAUACUGCAUUUGCAAGGUUUGUGUCAGGGUGUUGGACAUAUUGAUCACUUACAGCCUUCAUUAUUAUUUAUCAUAUGAUGAAACACACAGCAUUGCUUAAGCGUCUGAGUUUAUUGCAUUAAAUCAGUCUCUUUCUUAUAGUGGCAUAAAUUUGAUUUCAUUGUAUUAGCUUCAUUAGGUGCUUUGCUGUAUGAGGUUCAGUCAGGCAUGCCACACAAACCUCCAUCACUAGCAUGAGAGGUAUGAUACACUUGCAUUAUGUAUUGGUUAAUUUUUCUUGCAUUAUAGCUGAAUUAUUAAUAGCUGAAACUACAGUGUUCUUAUAUGCUAUUGUCUACGGCCCUUUCAUAUAGGUCACUGUAUGUCAUUUAUUUUCAGUAGAAAUGGCUGUGUUUAUAAGGAAGCAAUCUUAUUAUGUACAUGUUGGAAGGAACAGAAACAAAGGCAAACAUAAAAGACAUUGUCAGAAAACAUGCAUUUACAGGAGAAUAACUGGAACAGCAGUAUACGUUUUAAAUGACUGGAAGGGGAUUGAGCACGAUGCAAUUAAAUGAAUGUGAGAAAUUUCACAGAGUUCCAUUAGUUCGCUGUUGGAUCGUCCAUGAAUAGAAGGUUUUCCUAGGUUGUAUGUGUUAUGUGUUGCAUUGCAUAUAAUUUCUGCCUAUAGUGAAAAAAGAGGUCGCAGAAGCAGCAGAAAAAUUAACAUCAUGUUAUACUCUUUUAAGUGAAACUCUUGUGAUUUGUUUCAGUAAUGUGGUACAAAGAAAGUGACAGUAAGCACUGUUGAUGAAAGAAAAUGACACUUUCUGUGCUAUGGUAUUGUGAUGGUUUUUAUUAGGCUAUAGCCAGCAUGUUGUGGUUGGAAGUGGUGGGUUUACCAAUGGAUGUUUCAGGACAGGUGUGUGCAGAGUAAUGACUAUUUCUGUUGGAUCCAUGAAGUUUAAUUUAAUGAAGUUAUUGCAACAGGUGUCUGAAGAAUUUGUAUAUUUGCCUAAAGUUGAGGCACAAUGUUAUAAACAAAGUAUGAAAUAAAACAUUCUCAAACAUAUGCUUAGAUUUCAGAACGAGCAGUGAAAGUUGGAAAAUUGAACGUGUUUCCUGCAGCAAUGUUGUCAAGUGUAUACACUCAAUGUGAGAUAUGACAGGAAUGAAAGGGGAUAUGUCAGCUACUAGUUUUAUGCAGCUAAUGAUAGAGUGGUGGUGAGCAGAUGAUAUGUUUGGAAGAAAGACACAUUUAAACGUCUCGCAUCAAUGUAUUUGGCAGAAAGCAACUGCUUUCUUAGAUCCCAACAUAACCACAAUCUCAGAAACUGUGACAUAUUUGGAAGGCACAGUCAAUGAAGAUAUAAAUUUCGCAGCUGUGCUAUUGGGAUGACAAUGUAAUUAAAGAGAGUGAGACUCCAGAUGACAGGCUUAGAAAUCAAAAAAGAUAGUGAAGGGACAUUGUAAUACACCUGCUACUACUACUGAAUACCUGGAACAAGGAAAAAGUUACUGGAAACUGUGUGCUAAACAGUGAGGAACGUUCGGAAAAUAAAGACAAGGCAACAAGGAACCAACCUUAACAAUCAAGGGAAGUAAAUGCAAGAUAGCCCAAGACUGUUUCUGUCAUUACUUCCAAUGGAAAAUAGCUUCAAAUCCAACAAGUGUGGGUGCGUGCACAGACACCACAGAUGUCAGCUGUUGUAGGUUGAUAAAUUUGUUGAUUGGGAUCUGAUUGUGUACUGUGUCUGUGUAUAUUGCAGAAACUGUACAUAAAGUUUUUUCUGUUUUUGAAAAUAGUUGAUCUUAAGAUCGUCAUUUACUGUGGCAAUGUUCAAACAGAGAUAUUAAAUGUAUUAUGUAAGAUUAAAUGUAUUUGGAUUUUCCAUUAAACAAAAACAAAGAUGUUAACUUAGUUGGGUAGUAGUACUUGCUGUGUUUGUGGUUUCCAGUGUUGUGAUGGUUGGUAGAGGAACAAGGAUGAUUUGUUGGAUGGUUGAUGAGGAAAUGAAGUUGGAUAUGUUAUUGUGGAGAAAAACUGUUAAUUUAGUUUCAUAGCACUCUGCUGUACUUUCAUUUGUUGCCAAGAGGAAUUUCAUCUUUGUGGACAGAUGACCGUGACACGAUGUUACGGUAGAACUGUUACAUUGAACCUGAGAAUGGGAGCUUGUUCUCUUGAUAUGUGUAUUCAACAGGAAGAACAAUAUCACGAGGUUGAAUGCAAUAAUUCAGGAUAAUAGUUAAAAUUUGAAAUAGCUAGUUGAUUUGUUCAUAAUUUAUCUAGCGUCUCUUAAUUUUGGAAUGCUCUGCAAUUAUAACAGACUGGUACAGGCACAACUGUAGUAUCAGAAUUGCAUGUAACAUCACUGUUUACGAAGUAUAAACCAUAAAUAGAUGUAAACAAUUAAAUAUUGUCCAGAAUUAUUAUUCGAACUGUUGAAAUGUGCUCUCUCUUGUCUUUAGAGGCAUGCAAAUAUUACUGAGCAUGCACAACAUUCAGCACAUCUGGUAUACGAGACUUUUGAAAAGUGAUAGAAAACUAUUAGAGAUACACUGUUAUCAAAUGUAUGUUUAAAAUUGAACUGGAAAACUGUUAAGUGCUUCAGCAAGGACUGUUAGCAGAAUGAUUAUCCUUAACACAGAUGGGUCAUAGGGCAGCUGUGAAAGUUGUAGUCUACAUAACUUUUGAAAAGUUAAAUGUAGCUUUUCCAAGUAGCUAAUAGUGACUCAUAUGAACUUGUCACUAUGUUAGUAAUAAUUUCUUGACUUCCAUUGUAAAAAGUUGAAACAUAGUCCCAAUCAUUUGCAUACUAUUUCUAACUGGUGACAUAAUUUCCCUGCUUCCCGAACCUAUGUAGUAUUAUAAUGUCCAGUUUUCUAAAAAGAGUGAAGCAACAUUUCACAGUGAAAUACAAGAUAUGAAUGAUGGUAAUUUGCAAAUAUUUUCUUAAUAUUUUGUGUAUUUGUCAAGAAGUUAAACAUAAUUAAUACCUAUAGCAAACAUUUAAUGAUGCUUCAACUGUUUCAUGUCAUCACUUUAUAAAUGAAAACUGAGUAAAUAGUACAGUCCCAUGUGCUUUUUUAAAUGCAUUAUUGUUCUUUGGGAGAAGGAGAAUUAAUAUUUUCAUCAGCUAGUUAUGUGAUUAAAAUUUUUGUAUGGCUUGGUUAUGAAGAAAAACAAAUGUUAUGGUUAUGUUAAUAGUAAAUUAAUAAUAUGAACUACACAAGUGAGAAUGUAAUGUGCGAAAGAAAUGCUUCUUAAAUGGUGAAAUUAUGAAGUAAAAGGAAAUUAACAAAUGGUU